GACGAACGCUGGCGGCGUGCUUAACACAUGCAAGUCGAGCGGUAAGGCCCUUUCGGGGGUACACGAGCGGCGAACGGGUGAGUAACACGUGGGUGACCUGCCCUCAGCUCUGGGAUAAGCCUGGGAAACUGGGUCUAAUACCGGACAUGACCUUUCCUCGCAUGGGGACUGGUGGAAAGGCCUGGGCUUAAUUGUCUGGGCCGGCUGGGGAUGGGCCCGCGGCCUAUCAGCUUGUUGGUGGGGUGAUGGCCUACCAAGGCGACGACGGGUAGCCGGCCUGAGAGGGCGACCGGCCACACUGGGACUGAGACACGGCCCAGACUCCUACGGGAGGCAGCAGUGGGGAAUAUUGCGCAAUGGGCGGAAGCCUGACGCAGCGACGCCGCGUGGGGGAUGACGGCCUUCGGGUUGU
rnacentral:rRNA from 1 species